rnacentral:rRNA from 1 species
GUGAGGAAUAUUGCGCAAUGGAGGCAACUCUGACGCAGCCAUGCCGCGUGCAGGAAGAAGGCGCUACGCGUUGUAAACUGCUUUUAACCGGGAAGAAACCCCAGGACGUGUCCUGGGUUGACGGUACCGGAGGAAUAAGCACCGGCUAACUUCGUGCCAGCAGCCGCGGUAAUACGAAGGGUGCAAGCGUUAUCCGGAUUCAUUGGGUUUAAAGGGUGCGUAGGCGGAGCGUUAAGUCAGUGGUGAAAUCCUGCAGCUUAACUGUAGACUUGCCAUUGAUACUGGCGCUCUUGAGUGCGCUUGAAGUGGGCGGAAUGUGCCGUGUAGCGGUGAAAUGCUUAGAUAUGGCACAGAACACCAAUUGAGAAGGCAGCUCACUAAGGCGAUACUGACGCUGAGGCACGAAAGCGUGGGGAUCGAACAGGAUUAGAAACCCCUGUAGUCC